GUUAUAGGCCGGCUGAUGUCAAUUCUGUGCAAAUGUCGACGCACAGACACUCAUUCAAUGGCUGAAUGUGUCAUCUGACUGCUAACAGCCAAUCAAUUAGCAGCAGAAUCGCCAUGUCGCUUCUGCUGCUCUACGGAAGUGAGAUAUCAUGCCUUUUAUUUAUAGAAAACUAUUCGCUCCAUUACCUGGGAACUGGAUGUUCAGACGGCUGUAGUGGUUAUGAUGAUUGGAUUAACCCAUUCAUUUUAAUAAUAAUGCAAUUGGCUUCUGAAAGGGCUCCGGCACGAGUUUAUCCCCAUUUCUACCUUAUCUCUCCCAAUAAAUAUCUGCAAUCAGCUCCUGCAGAUGUGACUGGCUUUUUAUUCACUAAUUAUCUAAUCGUAAAAUUGGGCCUAAUAUAGUGAAGCUAAAUCAAGGAAUGUUUCCAUAUCUGCAAUUUUCUCCAAGAUUUUGCCAUUCUUGUUUUAAUAACCUGC